rnacentral:lncRNA from 1 species
GGUCAUUGUUAGUAUUAGCUUUAUUUAAAGUAAGUUCAACAGAAUAAAUUUCAUUAAUAUACAUACUGAAGUCGUCAUUAUUGAGAGCCAAAAUAUCAUCCAAAUAUCUAAAAGUAUUAUUAAAUUUGUGUAUCAGAUGUUGUUUCGAUGGGUCUUUGCGUAUUUUUGUCAUAAAUUGUAACUCAUAACAAUACAAAAACAGGUCCGCAAUAAGUGGUGCACAGUUAAUCCCCAUUGGAAUUCCGAUAAUCUGACGAUAUACGGAAUCCCCAAAGCGAACAAAAAUGUUAUCUAGUAAAAAUUCAAGGGCAUAUAUAGUAUCAAAGCAUGUCCAAUUAACAUAGUUUUUUA